GCAGCAGCUCCCUCCUCUUUACACUGUCCAACUGACAGUGUGAACCUGGCUGCUGCCGCUGCUGGCUGCCUGUAGGGGGAGCUGCAGCGGAAGCGCGCAGCUCCUCUCAGGCAGUUCAAGGGGCCAUGAGACAGGGCUACGUGAGGCAGUGUCUGCUGUUUUCGGCUCCCACUGUAGUGUCAGAUUGAUGGCCUGCUUCUCCCCCUGGGACUUACAACAGGCGGUGGCUCCGGAGUAUGAACAUCAGGUGGUGACACCACAGUGAAUUUAGCCCCCAGCGUCUCUUCCUCAGUACAGCCAUUGUUGUCUCCAUUCUAGCUCCGACUCCCACUUCGCAUGACGGAGGCUAAAUUUCUUACUAGUUGGAUGGGACCCCAUUGGAGAUUGCCUUUUCAUCCAUAGACCGACUGGAAUAUAUAUAUAAACACUAUUACAAAUGACAUGAAAGUAUAUUGAACUAAACAGAAUGGGAGAGUCAGCAUCCACUCAGUAGCGUUGGUGUCAGACCUAGCCGCAUCGAUAUAAUGGACUUAAAUUUGAACGUAUCAAAAUAUGCCUGCAAAACCACAAAUGUUCCAAUGCAUUAUGUGUUUACGUUCUGGUCACAUUGCUACAUAAACCCUUAAUGAGGCGCCUAAUAUGUAAUCAACUACAUUGUUUUUGAAUGGUAGAUAAAUGGGGACCCCAUAUGGUUGACAGACACAAGGUCAAUAUGGACAAAAGGUCAACAUGACAAAAGGUAGACAUAUGAAAGAUCGACACUAGAAAAGGUCGACAGGUUCAUAUGGUCAACAUGACAAUGUCAACACUCAUAUAAUAAACACGUUUUUUAAUGUUUUUGGACUUUUUCCUUCCUUGACUAUCCAUCCCACAAAUCAUAACCUUUAGUAAUCUUGUGGCGAGUGAAGUGAAGCGAGACACCAUGCCAGGGGCGUCUUAAGAGAGGAGGGGGCCCAUGUGCAGACUCAGGGUGGCCUCCCACCUCUCCACGGCGCCGUAGGCUCCGGCAUUGAGCCAAAGUCUACUGCGCAUGUGCAGAUCUCCAGAAGCAUGGCGCUCGCCAUGUUCCAGAUACAAAAUUUAUGCUGUGUAUGCAUGGCGGCCAUUUUGGAUGGGAUUUUCUUCCACGACAGCUGCGGCUGCAGAUUCCAACGCUGAACUCCGGAGAGGUGAGUAUUAAAAUAUGGGUGCAAUGUAUGCGGUUUGGGCCCCCCCUGGACCCAGGGGUCCGUGUGCACCACGCACAUUGCACCCAUGAUAGAAAUGCUUAUGCACCAUGCCCAAAGCACAGAGAGUGAAGCGAGCCUACUAGGGAACGCAAUUGUACAAAUGAUGGUCCCAGAUGAAAAAACUAUCCACACUAUCCCCAAAAAUGCAAAAAAAGUGUGUCAACCAGUUUUGUGCUGGCUAUUAUCAUGUUGAACUUUUGACCCAUUCGACCUUUCCCAGUGUUGAUCUUUUAUAUGUCUACCUUUUGUCCAUCUCGACCUUGUAUCUGUUGACCAUAUGGGGUAGAUCUAAUGACUGUAGAUCUUCUAUACCACACUCACAUAAAUGACUGCCAAAUUAUAUGCCUUUAUUCAAGCUAAAUUGGAGCCAUUCAAUUCUAGAUUUGCUAAAUAAAUUCCCAUUAAUUACUUUUCCUACUAUGUAAGAUGGAAAAAGUAAUAAAAGGUAAUAUAAUUUACAAACAAUGUAGUAUUUAAAAACAGUAAAUGCAAAUUGGUGAAUAUCACAACAGGGGUAAAUGGCAUGAUUAGGGUGGCCAUACCCGGGAUCGGCAGGAUCCCGGGAUAUGGGGCCAAAUUUACCGGGAUUUGAAUCCUGGGAUUGGGGAUUCCCAUCCCAGGAUUUCUGGAUUGCCCUGCACAUGCACUGUUUGUUCUUUAUGACGGGCAGCACUGAGCUCCCGGUUCAGAUGCUGCCCAGCUGUGCGCUGCGCCAUGUAACGUCAGAGGUUAUGCAGUACAGCUCCACGCCGGCCCGCUAGCAAUCUUAAAUUAAGCAGAGGUGGACUGGCAUGCUGCUGCUCACUCAGUCAGCACAGCGGGCUACAGGAGUCGGGUACAUGAUUUGGAAGUAGGAGGGAGCCCUGCUGCUGCAGACUAGUGCCACACUGGCCAGCCCAGCCCCAGUGAGACAGGGCCUGCUGCCUGGGCCAUACUUGACCCUGUUGCUUCUCUUAAGAGGAGAGAAGAGGAGGACUGGGUGUGUCUGUUAGCAAGUUUUUGUGUUUUUUUUUUUUGGGGGGAGGGCUAGCGUGGUGCAAUGGUGGGCCAUGAGUUUCUGUGUUGUGGGGGGCUGGGCCGAUGGGCCUGUGCUGGACAAUGAAUGUUAUUUAUUUAAUACCCAUGGUGUCGGGACCCUGGCUGAGUCCUAAAAUAACAUAACAGGAAUAAAAUAACAUUCACACCAAGCAGGGGCCCACAGGAUUAAAUGUUUUACCUGUAGGCCUGUGCUGCUGGGCCAAGAAUAAAUAAUAUUUUCCUUGGCCAACACAAUCCCUGAAUCCCGGAAAUCCGGGAGUGAGAGUUUUUCAUUCCCAAAUCCUGGGAUUGAAAAUACGGUCCGGGAUUGGCCUCCCUAGGCAUGAUCCCUACUGUUAUCUUAAUGGGCCUAUUGGAUUGGGAUUUGCUCUGUUUGCACUGUAAACGCCAUAUUGUAAAACCUGUAUUUAAACAUUUUCCAUUUGUAAAUGGUAUGUUACUGUUUUAAUUAUAUUUAAAAAUAAAAUAAAAUGCUGGCUUCUAGGCUGGAACCCUUUAUUGUAAACCCAGCCUUGCUAUUAGCUAAAGACUACUGCAGUGUUUCAUCACUGGGGAAGGGGGGGCAUGAAGAAGCGAUUCCAGGUGAAAUGCACCACUGCGCCGUGUGCUGGGCUGUGAAGGAAGGCUCUCUCCCUGCCUGAUGUGCCGCUGUGCUGCUAUAUAGCGCCCAGUGGUAGUCGGCAAGAGAGAAGUGUUAUGGGGGCUAGGUGAUUACCUUGAUUGUCCCUCCCCCCUGGAUCCGCUCCUGCUUUCACCCAUUUUACUGGAGUAGUGGGUGGGAUGCGGGAGGGUUGUUUACUCUCCCAGAGAAUUGGAUAUUAAAUCAUUCAGUUUAAUCAAAUAAAAAUCAUUCCAUACUGAUUUCAAAUAUCAAAUAAAUAAUAUGUAAAGAUCGGAGCAGCCGCACUAAUAAUAGUAAUAAUAUCAGUGGGAGGGGUCAAAACAUACUGCCAAUCAGAAGUACCAGCGGACUGUCACCAUCAUCAAUUUACAGCAAGGUUCUAGUACCCACAAGUGACACACCGCCUCACAGGCGUUUUUAUUUGUUUUGCAGGAUGUAUGAAACAUUAACAUGAACACACAUUUACUGUACCCAACUAAGGCUUGCACGCUGCCUUACUCUAAGUCAUAACUGCAAAAUGUUACCUAAUCUACAAUGAGUUGGAUGCUGAAGAAAUUUUUGUGCGCA